GACGAACGCUGGCGGCGUGCUUAACACAUGCGAGUCGAACGGAAAGGCCCUGCUUUUGUGGGGUGCUCGAGUGGCGAACGGGUGAGUAACACGUGAGUAACCUGCCCUUGACUUUGGGAUAACUUCAGGAAACUGGGGCUAAUACCGGAUAGGAGCUCCUGCUGCAUGGUGGGGGUUGGAAAGUUUCGGCGGUUGGGGAUGGACUCGCGGCUUAUCAGCUUGUUGGUGGGGUAGUGGCUUACCAAGGCUUUGACGGGUAGCCGGCCUGAGAGGGUGACCGGCCGGAGUGGGAAUGGGACACAGCCCCGACUCGUGUGGCGGACAGGAUUGGGGAAUAUUGCGCUAGGGGGGGAGGCCGGAGGCAUCACCGCGGCGGGCGGGAUGCCGGUCUGGGGGUUUUAGCCCGCUGCCUCUGGGGAGGAGGGGUGGAUGCCGGUAAUGGACAAAGAAGCACCGGCGAACACGGUGCCAGCCGCGGCGGUAAAAAUCGGAAGCCACCCUUCUGACC
rnacentral:rRNA from 1 species